UACGAAGGGGACUAGCGUUGUUCGGAAUUACUGGGCGUAAAGCGCGUGUAGGCGGACUGGUCAGUCAGAGGUGAAAGCCCGGGGCUCAACCCCGGAACUGCCUUUGAUACUGCCAGUCUAGAGUUCGGAAGAGGCAAGUGGAAUGUCGAGUGUAGAGGUGAAAUUCGUAGAUAUUCGACGGAACACCAGUGGCGAAGGCGGCUUGCUGGUCCGAUACUGACGCUGAGACGCGAAAGCGUGGGGAGCAAACAGG
rnacentral:rRNA from 1 species